UCUCCUCCGCUCUCCUCCGCUCUCCUCCGCUCUCCUCCGCUCCCCGAUCGCCCUGGGCGGCCGCAGCCUCUGCCCGUGCCCGCCUGCCCGUAACCCGGCUACUCUUAGAGAGAUACGUAGGUGUCCAUUACUGGCCUGUGUUUCUUUUAGAAGACAUGUUGCUAAUGAAGGUGGAAAGGUCUAAACCCAUGCAAUCUAAAUAAUAUAUUAAAUAUGAAGGAUCCAAAUGAAGCCUGGCAGUCAGUCAAGGUGAGAUUACAGACUCUUUAAAAUGAGCAUGUGCUAUUUUAGAGGCAGGUGUCUCAAAGGUAAUUGUCAUCAUCUUCUCCUUUGGAUUAUUCCAGAAAUCAUCAGCAAGAUUGUGUACUUCCAUUAGCCUCGACAGCUGGUUCUGCUGACGCCAGGAUUUCAUAAAAAAGUGCGGUUAGAGUGAUGCAUUUCUCAUUGAGCGCACAUGGAUACAUAAGGCAAUGGAAUUACUGGUGGAAGAGUACAGCAAAGGAAAACAUCCUUGCAAUGAGUUUGGAUAGACCAUUAAAUAGUUUUUCAAGGAAAGCAGAGAAAACCAUGCCAACCACAGAUUGUACCACUGUACUGUUUUUAGCUGAUUGAGCUAAUUUUCCUCAUUGUGGCUUUUAUUGUGCGAUGUUUUUUAUUUCUGAUGAAAACUGUGCUGAUAACACAGUUUUACUUAUUAGUGAACAGUAUCAAGGUAUUUUUUUGCUUCUGUCUCUGCUCCCAGUGAGGAAGCUGAGGGUGCACAAGAAGAUGGGAGGGGACACAGUCAGGAAAACUGACCCCAGCUGACCAAACACCACAGGACAUCAUGCUCAGCAGUAAAGGCAGAGUGGGGGAUUUUGUCAGGGCUGCUAUUACAUGGGAACUGGCUGGCAUUGGUCUGCUUGAGGAGGGAGAUUGGUGGUUUAGCUCACCUUCUUUUUUUUUUUCCUUGGUUUUGUUUUUCUUUGCUUCUUUUUGCCUUUAUUUUUAAC
rnacentral:lncRNA from 1 species